rnacentral:rRNA from 1 species
UUAAUGAAUAAUCUUGAUGUAGCUGUUGCUGGCCUUUUUGGCAUGUGCUCGCUCGUCAUCUUUAUAUCUCCACCUGUGCACCCUUUGUAGACUUGGAAUCAUUUUNNANGNUUUCUUCAAACCUUGGUCGUUGGGAUUGCUGGCAUUUCMUUUUUGUCGGCUCUCCUUGUUGUUCCAAGCCUAUGUUUUUAAUAUACCCCAAAGCAUGUAACAGAAUGUAUCAUUGGGCUUUGUUGCCUAUAAACUAUAUACAACUUUCAGCAACGGAUCUCUUGGCUCUCGCAUCGAUGAAGAACGCAGCGAAAUGCGAUAAGUAAUGUGAAUUGCAGAAUUCAGUGAAUCAUCGAAUCUUUGAACGCACCUUGCGCUCCUUGGUAUUCCGAGGAGCAUGCCUGUUUGAGUAUCAUUAAAUUCUCAACCUUUACCRGCUUUGCUGUUGGUAGAGGUUUGGAUGUGGGGGUUUACUUUUGCUGGUUUUCAUUAAUCAGCUCCCCUUAAAUGCAUUAGCUGGUGCCCCGCGUGGACUUGUCUAUUGGUGUGAUAAUUAUCUACGCCAUUGGAUGUCUGCUUUGAAUGGGUUUUUGCACUGCUUCAAACCGUCUGUUAACUCGGACAAUUAAUGAACUCUUGAUCUCAAAUCAGGUAGGACUACCCGCUGAACUUAAGCAUAUCAAUAAGCGGAGGAAAAGAAACUAACAAGGAUUCCCCUAGUAACUGCGAGUGAAGCGGGAAAAGCUCAAAUUUAAAAUCUGGCGGUCUUUGGCUG